rnacentral:lncRNA from 1 species
GAGUCUAAAAGGAGGAGGCGAAUCGAACGCAAAAAUUAUGGGCCCAGUUUUUGAGAUCUAAAUGAAGUUCGAAAAUCGCCGUUAGGGGCGCUUGUGAUGAUUGGGAUACUAGAAAUACACAGCUUCUUAUGGCAAGAAUAACUAUUUUGUUAUAAAUUAUAGAGCCAAGUUAAUAUUUGGGCAUAUUUUUACCAGAGUUAGCUUUUAGAAACGUGGUUUUUCUAAUUGAGCAAUGUGCGUGGCUAAAAUUGUGAAUACAAACCUUAAAUUUGAGUUUGAAAAUGCAUACACGACCGAAGAAACAUAUAAGCUGCUAAAAUAAAUCUUCCCUAGAACUGUUGUACAAAAAA